rnacentral:rRNA from 1 species
UACGGAGGGUGCAAGCGUUAAUCGGAAUUACUGGGCGUAAAGGGUGCGUAGGUGGUUUGGUAAGUUAUCUGUGAAAUCCCCGGGCUCAACCUGGGCAGGUCAGAUAAUACUGCUGAACUCGAGUAUGGGAGAGGGUAGUGGAAUUUCCGGUGUAGCGGUGAAAUGCGUAGAGAUCGGAAGGAACACCAGUGGCGAAGGCGGCUACCUGGCCCAAUACUGACACUGAGGCACGAAAGCGUGGGGAGCAAACAGG